AUAUGCCUAUAAUUAACCUUCUCCUACUUAUCAUUCCAACUCUAAUCGCUAUAGCAUUCCUUACAAUCAUUGAACGAAAAAUCUUAGGCUAUAUACACCUACGCAAAGGACCUAACAUUGUAGGUGCCUGCGGACUGCUUCAACCAUUCGCUGACGCAAUAAAACGUUUCAUCCAAGAGCCCUUACAGACCUCAACAUCUACAUCUACUAUCACCCUUUAUAUUAUUGCUCCAACCCUGGCCCUUUCUAUCACUCUUCUCUGUGAAGUCCCCUCCCUAUACCAAAUCCCCUAAUUAAUUUUAAUACAGGCCUCCUAUUUAUACUAGCCACAUCAAGCCUAGCCGUCUACUCUAUUCUAUGAUCAGGAUGAGCAUCUAAUUCAAAUUAUGCACUAAUCGAUGCAUUACGAGCUGUGGCCCAGACAAUUUCAUAUGAGGUCACCCUAGCCAUUAUCCUCCUAUCAGUCCUACUGAUAAGUGGCUCAUUUAAUUUAUAUGCACUCAUCACAAUGCAAGAAUCCCUCUGACUGCUUCUACCAUCACGGCCCCUAGCCAUGAUAUGAUUUAUCUCCACAUUAGCAGAAACUAUCCGAGCCCCUUUUGAUCUAACAGGAGAGUCAGAGUUAGUCUCAGGCUUCAACAUUGAACAUGCCACAGGUUCAUUUGCUCUCUUCUUUAUAGCAGAAUAUAUGAAUAUUAUCAUAAUAAAUGCCCUAACUACUACUAUUUUCCUAGGAGCACUGCACACUAGAUAUUCACCAGAACUCUAUUCCACAAAUUUCAUUACCAAGACCCCCCUUUUAACCACCCUGCUUUUAUGAAUUCAAACAGCAUACCCCCAAUUCUGCUAUGACCAACUCAUAUCUUCUACGAAAAAAUUUCCUAUCACUUACACUAGCAUUUUGCAUGUCAUAUAUCUCAAUGCCCGUCCUAAUUUCCAGCAUUCCACACCA
rnacentral:lncRNA from 1 species